rnacentral:rRNA from 1 species
CAGCAGCCACGGUAAAACGUAGGGUGCAAGCGUUAAUCGGAAUUACUGGGCGUAAAGCGUGCGCAGGCGGUUAUAUAAGACAGAUGUGAAAUCCCCGGGCUCAACCUGGGAACUGCAUUUGUGACUGUAUAGCUAGAGUACGGCAGAGGGGGAUGGAAUUCCGCGUGUAGCAGUGAAAUGCGUAGAUAUGCGGAGGAACACCGAUGGCGAAGGCAAUCCCCUGGGCCUGUACUGACGCUCAUGCACGAAAGCGUGGGGAGCAAACAGGAUUAGAUACCCCCGUAGUCCCUGUCUCUUAUAA